UACGUAGGGUGCAAGCGUUGUCCGGAAUUAUUGGGCGUAAAGAGCUCGUAGGCGGUCUGUCGCGUCGGCUGUGAAAACCCGGGGCUCAACCCCGGGCCUGCAGUCGAUACGGGCAGACUAGAGUGCGGUAGGGGAGACUGGAAUUCCUGGUGUAGCGGUGAAAUGCGCAGAUAUCAGGAGGAACACCGGUGGCGAAGGCGGGUCUCUGG
rnacentral:rRNA from 1 species